UUUUCAUCAUUUUUCUUCGUGUUUAAUCUUCCGAUUUCGAAUCUCUCCUUUUUUCGUUUUUCUCUUCGUCAUUCGCUCUUUUUAUUUCAAUUUUUUUUUUUAAGUUUUAAUCAUAUUUCCAUUUAAUGUAAUUUAGAUUAAAGAUACAGUUAAUAUUUAGUAUUAAUCAUGUAAUGUAGAUAUAUAAUAUAUAUACAUUAUAUCUAUUAUUAAUGUAGAUAGAUAUAUACAUUAGAUAAUAUAAUGUAAUCUUUCUAUAAUUAGUACAUUAACAUAUAUAUACAUUAGUAUAAUUAAUAAUAAUAAAGGAGAUAUCAGUGGAAUUUUAAAAGUUUAUCUAUAUUUAUUAUUUUAUAUCUCAUAAAUUUCUUUCGCAUCACAUUAAGAAUGACUUUAAAUGGCUAUAUUUAUAUAAACAUGCAGGAUUAUAAAACUUCCUUUAAAUUUAAUUCACUAAUUAAUAACCAAUUUGUAAUAUACUAUUUUCAUUAUAAAAAAUCUUUUGAACAUGUGAUAUAAUAUCAUCUAUACAUGAUUAAACAAAAAAGAUUGCAUUUAUUUCAAUUGUUAUAUACAUUUUAUUAUUAUAUUCGUUAUGUAAAUCUUAUAAUAUAAUAUUUAGAAUAAUUAUAUAUCAAAUAGUUACAUAAUAUAUUUAAAUAAAAAGGCACUCACAAUCUUUUUAUUCCUCAAAAAUAUCUUCAAUUGUCCUUAUUUUAAAAAACCGAUAUAUUCAAAACCUAUCAUUAUUGUCACGAUCCCUUCAACUGAAUAUAUUUUCAUUUUUCCCUUACCUCUAAUUAGCCUUUCAUCGAUUCUUGCCUCCCUCCCUCCCUCCUCCUACAAUGUUUCUCAAUUUCUUACUUGUUAACAUCCUUUCCUUGCACAUCUUCUCGCGCAUUAAUCUUCCACCCUUUCCCUCCUCGUCACCCCUUUUCGUUUCCCCUUUGGCGGCUUUGUUAUCCCGGCUCUUUACUUCCUUCUCACUCUCCUCGACCCGCCCGCCACUGCGAACAUUUUCUGGUUAACGGUCCCCCGCUAUGGGAUUAUGCAAAUUAAACGAGCGUGAUGUCCGCGCGAGAACAUACUCGCGUUUGCACGGUCGGCCGAUUCGCCCUGGACCACGAUGCACGCCAGUAUGUUAUCUUUUUGAUUGCGCCGCGCCACCGUCACAGAAGCCUUCAGCUUUUCUUCUCUUUUUUUUUCUCUCCCCCCUCUUCUUUUCCUUUCACCCAAAGUGUUCUCUCUAACCGACCGGCAAGGUGUAACGACGGCGUUAUCCUUCCCCUUCGCUCUGUAAUCUUCCGCUCCUCCGGGGAGUCGCAAAGUAUGCUUCCUCGCUCCGCUGUGUUUUCGAUUCUCCAACCUGAACUUUCCAUUUAAGGUUUUUCACCCGAUUCCCGUUUUAUGACUCCCGCUCGCAAACACCAACGUUAAGGCGUUUUUCUUCAUUCUAAUUGGAGUCUCCUCUGCAUAUCCGCCUCAUAGACAGUUUACAGGCUUCGAUUUCGUUCCCGCAGAAACGGUCUUUUUGCGAUGUACCGGCCUGUUACAAGUGCGUAUUCGGGCUGCUCGUGUUGUACUUUUAAGAGAGGCUCACGAGAGGGCGUUGUGUAUCGCGAGAUGGUGUUAUAGGUUUCGAAGGAUAACAGAACUUGCAAAAUGCUUUGAUGAUUGAUUAGUUUCAAAUAAUAGUAGAUACAGUAAUUUUCGUGUCGAGAAUUAUUAACAUUGUUUUUGUGAAAAAAUGUGAAAAAAUGAUUCGAAUAUUGGAAAAAAGAGACAGAGUAAUAAAUACAACGUAAGAGAAACGUAACCUAUAUUCGAUAGAAAAUUGUCGAUAUUUUGAAUUGUUAUAAUUUUGUUAAAAAAAAUCAUGUAAUAAUCGUAAUCAUUUAGCAAAUAGGAAAGUAAAUAUACUUUUUUUUCUCAAAUUAAAAAAUUCAAUUGACUGUAAAUACACUGAAUUCUUUUUAUUAAAAUUAAUUAUACAAUUUUUUUUCACGAAGUUAUUAAACUUCGAAUAUUAGGAUUAGACGAUGAAAUUUCAGAAAAUGUUAAAUUUUCAUCUUUCUACUACAUUCAAUAACUUCUAAAUACAUUCAAUAUCUUGUUGAAAUUAUUUAUUUUAAUAUAUGGAAAACAGUUUAAUCGUAGUAUGUAUUAACAUAAUAAUAACAAUGUAGAUUUUAUUUUCGUACCGUGAAUAUAUUUAGAGACAAUGUUGUGCUCGCGAAACCAAGGAAAUAAAUAUCUAAAUUUAAUAUCGCGAAACGAGUUAUUGAAUCAACUUUUCGUUUGAUUGAUAUGGCUAAUCCAAUAAUUCCAAUACAUAACAGAAAUGUAUGCGUUUAGUUCAGGUAUUUUACAUUCACGACAAUUUUCUUUUCUUUUUUUCUACCUUUGCAAAAUACAAUUAUUUAUCAUAUACAAUUAUUUUAAUAGAGGACAACAUUCUAUUCGUUCGAGGACUGCAGCUUAGUUCAAACCUAACCUAAACUUACUUUUCGAAGUGGUUCAUUCCUUGCAAUUAUGUCAUCACUUCUGCAAUUCAUCUGUUUCCACGCGAACUAUGCGUUGUCUAUUAAUCAAGUCAUCUCCGACUCUCUCACAAGUUCCUCUACUUGGCGGAUACAAGCAGGUUAAUUAGUAUUCUUAGCCUACUCAUUGCUGGCCACGUUGAACCCCGGUUGGCGUAUUAACAGCGCGCGUUACACGGUAAUUUCGGUGUCUUUCUCCUCCUCCUCCUCCUCCUCCUCCUCCCCCUCUUCCUCCUUCUCUUCUCCCCAUCCAUUUCCUCCUCUUUCCCCUACUCGUCUCUCUUCGCAGCCACUUCCCUCGACCUGCCAUUUACUACCUUCCACUUGUUCCGCAAUAUUACCACACACGUUUCCCUUUUUGUGCCACGCGAGUAACACGCGGGAAACAGAUUUCUGAAUCAUUGCAUGCUUCUCAGUCGCAGCCCAACUCCGGUUAGUCAAUUAUAAUAAUGUCGUUUUUUAUCGUGAUGCGCUCGAGGUUGAUUCGUGCUUAUUAGUGGUAAUGCUUUGAAACUCGAAGCUCGUUAUAGUAUUCGUCUUAACACUGGAACUACCGAUCUUUGUUCGUCCCACGUGCACGAAGAACGAAACGGCAAGUAGAGACGGUCGUUGAACGAAGCGCAGGUUGCACGUGCGGUGCAUGUCGCCUGUGGCGCGCUUCGCUCGAGCAGCCGCAAAUGGCAAGAGCAAUGCUGCACGGUGCACGACAGCGAAGACUGUUAUGUAAGAGAUGUGUCAGAGCUGGUAAUACGGUGGAGGAAGAGAGAGAACACGGAGGGACAGGUGAGAGUGGGACAAGGAACGUGCGAAGAAAACGCGAAGGACAUAAAGUGGCGGGCAAAAGGCAGUUUAAAAGUCGGCGGAAAAUAAAAUACAUUCGCUCUUAAAGAAGAAACUGUCGCCGCUCGCGGUAGUUCUUCCUUUUCAGGUUGUAAAUUUAAUACGGUUUAAGACGGGCCCCUCUUGGGUUAUGAUAUAAAUUGGAAAGUUUUCAGUUUCAAAAUGGAGGCAUUUAAAUUUGCAUCAAGUCACGUGAUUCGGCUCAGAUUUAUAAUGUGAUUUAUGUGUGUAUGUUAUAUCUCGAAACUGCGCGAGAACAAAAAUUAUCGAUAGAAGGUCGAUAUGAUAAGAAUGCGAGGCUUAAAAAAUAAAUUAAAAAAAAUUCACUGUAAAUAUUUUGGAAAAUAUCAUGUGAAAAUAAUUGUAUAAAUAUAUUAUAUUUUAAGGAAUUUAUACAUUUUUUAUUUUUUGAAAAUUAAUAAAUAAAGCAUUAAAAAAAUUUUAAA